rnacentral:rRNA from 1 species
CGAGGGGCAGCAUUCCAGUUUGCUUGCAAACUGGAGAUGGCGACCGGCGCACGGGUGAGUAACACGUAUCCAACCUGCCGAUAACUCGGGGAUAGCCUUUCGAAAGAAAGAUUAAUACCCGAUGGCAUAAUAGAACCGCAUGGUUUGAUUAUUAAAGAAUUUCGGUUAUCGAUGGGGAUGCGUUCCAUUAGGCAGUUGGUGGGGUAACGGCCCACCAAACCUUCGAUGGAUAGGGGUUCUGAGAGGAAGGUCCCCCACAUUGGAACUGAGACACGGCCCAAACUCCUACGGGAGGCAGCAGUGAGGAAUAUUGGUCAAUGGACGAGAGUCUGAACCAGCCAAGUAGCGUGAAGGAUGACUGCCCUAUGGGUUGUAAACUUCUUUUAUAUGGGAAUAAAGUGGUCCACGUGUGGAUUUUUGUAUGUACCAUAUGAAUAAGGAUCGGCUAACUCCGUGCCAGCAGCCGCGGUAAUACGGAGGAUCCGAGCGUUAUCCGGAUUUAUUGGGUUUAAAGGGAGCGUAGGUGGACAGUUAAGUCAGUUGUGAAAGUUUGCGGCUCAACCGUAAAAUUGCAGUUGAUACUGGCUGUCUUGAGUACAGUAGAGGUGGGCGGAAUUCGUGGUGUAGCGGUGAAAUGCUUAGAUAUCACGAAGAACUCCGAUUGCGAAGGCAGCUCACUGGACUGCAACUGACACUGA